UACCUCAAAUCAUAAUUAAAACAAUUUAAAAUAAACAUAAAAUAAUGCAGUAUACAGUACUCAAAUAAAGGUUGUAAAACUAUGAUUAUCAUUCGAUAAUUAGUUGGCCACAGCAACAGUUUUCCAUUUCUCUUUCCUUACAGAGAUAAAAUCAUAAGCUUUCUGGUCAAUUCCAGGCUCAGCAACCCACCGGUCUCUGUCUUCGUCACUAUGCCAUAUUUUGUAAGCCUUCACAGAGUCAUAAUCCCUCGUACUUUCUGAUAUCGAUGCCCUUGAACUUUUCGCUUUGAAGAUGCUAAGGAGGGAAAAAGAAGAACCAGAUGAAGAUUUCUUGAUUUUCCUGUUGUUGCCUGCCAUGUUUUCUAUCUUUUACAGUGUGUUUUUUCAAGAAACAAAC
rnacentral:lncRNA from 1 species